GACGGAGGGUGCUAGCGUUGUUCGGAAUGACUGGGCGUAAAGGGCGCGUAGGCGGCUCGUGAAGUCGGGUGUGAAAGCCCGGGGCUCAACCCCGGAACGGCAUCCGAUACUGGCGGGCUUGAGGCCGGGAGAGGAGGGUGGAAUACCCAGUGUAGAGGUGAAAUUCGUAGAUAUUGGGUGGAACACCGGUGGCGAAAGCGGCUCUCUGGCCCGGAUCUGACGCUGAGGCGCGAAAGCGUGGGGAGCAAACAGG
rnacentral:rRNA from 1 species